rnacentral:rRNA from 1 species
CAGCAGCCACGGGAAUACGAAGGGGGCUAGCGUUGCUCGGAAUUACUGGGCGUAAAGGGAGCGUAGGCGGACAUUUAAGUCAGGGGUGAAAUCCCGGGGCUCAACCUCGGAAUUGCCUUUGAUACUGGGUGUCUUGAGUAUGAGAGAGGUAUGUGGAACUCCGAGUGUAGAGGUGAAAUUCGUAGAUAUUCGGAAGAACACCAGUGGCGAAGGCGACAUACUGGCUCAUUACUGACGCUGAGGCUCGAAAGCGUGGGGAGCAAACAGGAUUAGAUACCCGGGUAGUCCCUGUCUCUUAUAC